AGAGUUUGAUUUCCGGCUCAGGAUGAACGCUGGCGGCGUGCUUAACACAUGCAAGUCGAACGAACCUUCGGGUUAGUGGCGGACGGGUGAGUAACGCGUGAGAAUCUGCCCUCAGGAGGGGGAUAACGGCUGGAAACGGCCGCUAAUACCCCAUAUGCCGCGAGGUGAAAUGAAUUUCGCCUGAGGAUGAGCUCGCGUCUGAUUAGCUAGUUGGUGGGGUAAAGGCCUACCAAGGCUUCGAUCAGUAGCUGGUCUGAGAGGAUGAUCAGCCACACUGGGACUGAGACACGGCCCAGACUCCUACGGGAGGCAGCAGUGGGGAAUUUUCCGCAAUGGGCGAAAGCCUGACGGAGCAACGCCGCGUGAGGGAUGAAGGCCUCUGGGCUGUAAACCUCUUUUAUCAAGGAAGAAGAUCUGACGGUACUUGAUGAAUAAGCCACGGCUAAUUCCGUGCCAGCAGCCGCGGUAAUACGGGAGUGGCAAGCGUUAUCCGGAAUUAUUGGGCGUAAAGCGUCCGCAGGCGGUCUUUUAAGUCUGUCGUCAAAGCGUGGAGCUUAACUCCAUUUCUGCGAUGGAAACUGGGAGACUAGAGUGUGGUAGGGGCAGAGGGAAUUCCCGGUGUAGCGGUGAAAUGCGUAGAUAUCGGGAAGAACACCAGUGGCGAAGGCGCUCUGCUGGGCCAUAACUGACGCUCAUGGACGAAAGCCAGGGGAGCGAAAGGGAUUAGAUACCCCUGUAGUCCUGGCCGUAAACGAUGAACACUAGGUGUCGGGGGAAUCGACCCCCUCGGUGUCGUAGCCAACGCGUUAAGUGUUCCGCCUGGGGAGUACGCACGCAAGUGUGAAACUCAAAGGAAUUGACGGGGGCCCGCACAAGCGGUGGAGUAUGUGGUUUAAUUCGAUGCAACGCGAAGAACCUUACCAGGGCUUGACAUCCUGCGAAUCUCUUGGAAACGAGAGAGUGCCUUCGGGAACGCAGUGACAGGUGGUGCAUGGCUGUCGUCAGCUCGUGUCGUGAGAUGUUGGGUUAAGUCCCGCAACGAGCGCAACCCACGUCGUUAGUUGCCAGCAUUGAGUUGGGCACUCUAGCGAGACCGCCGGUGAUAAACCGGAGGAAGGUGUGGAUGACGUCAAGUCAUCAUGCCCCUUACAUCCUGGGCUACACACGUACUACAAUGCUACGGACAAAGGGCAGCAAGCUCGCGAGAGUUAGCAAAUCCCAUAAACCGUGGCUCAGUUCAGAUCGUAGGCUGCAACUCGCCUACGUGAAGGAGGAAUCGCUAGUAAUCGCAGGUCAGCAUACUGCGGUGAAUACGUUCCCGGGCCUUGUACACACCGCCCGUCACACCAUGGAAGUUGGCCACGCCCGAAGCCGUUACUCCAACCCUUGUGGAGGAGGACGUCGAAGGUGGGGCUGAUGACUGGGGUGAAGU
rnacentral:rRNA from 1 species